rnacentral:rRNA from 1 species
ACGGAAGGCAGCAGUGGGGAAUAUUGCACAAUGGGGGAGACCCUGAUGCAGCGACGCCGCGUGAGUGAAGAAGUAUUUCGGUAUGUAAAGCUCUAUCAGCAGGAAAGAAAAUGACGGUACCUGACUAAGAAGCCCCGGCUAACUACGUGCCAGCAGCCGCGGUAAUACGUAGGGGGCAAGCGUUAUCCGGAUUUACUGGGUGUAAAGGGAGCGUAGACGGCUUUGCAAGUCUGAAGUGAAAGCCCGGGGCUCAACCCCGGAACUGCUUUGGAAACUGUAGAGCUAGAGUGCAGGAGAGGUAAGUGGAAUUCCUAGUGUAGCGGUGAAAUGCGUAGAUAUUAGGAGGAACACCAGUGGCGAAGGCGGCUUACUGGACUGUAACUGACGUUGAGGCUCGAAGGCGUGGGGAGCAAACAGGAUUAGAUACCCUGGUA